CUCCUCCUAAUAUAAAAACCACCAGCAAAUUCCCUAAUGCAUUCUUCUCCGGACCCUUCACAAAAUACAAAAUCAGAUUAAAUAUGCAGGUAGGGGUUGAUUGUUUAUAACUGUGUUUGUAUUUAUAAGUAAAAAAAAAACUUGUGUUAUAUUUUGAAAUUGUAAAAGCAAAGGGUAUAGUAUGCCACAAUUUUUUUUUUUUGUAAAAUGAAUGCGUUUUGUUUUCUAUAUAUAAAUCUAUAAUAAUACUAAAAUGUAAGUUUAUAGAUAUAAUCAAUUUAUUCUGGUUAAAAGUAGGAAGAGUAGAUAGAUUACCGUGUAUCCUUUAGGAGCUAUAGUCAUAAUGCAAACAGUGAGAUGUCCAGUAGUUAUUCCCAAAAUAGAAACGAGCAUAAUCAUCCAUCCUUUAUCACCAUAUUUUGCAGUGAAGUAGAAUGCGGGAACGAGAAAAUAACGUGAUAAAACCGCUAUCGUUAGUGCUGUUCUAUUCUCAACCUUCAACCAAUUCAGCAGCGGUGCGUACCUCCCGACCAAAUCCCAAAAAUUGUAUGUCGCUACUAGGAUAAGUGCAUACCAAUCGCCUAGUCCGUGUUGUCCCGUGUUUUCGUAUAAGAAUCCAGGAAAAAUGGAUAAUGUCAAAACGUAGAUGAGGAAUAGAUUCACUGCAUGGUCUAUAUUUUGAAGCAACAGCUCUUUCUUGCUUAGCCUUUGAUUCUUCGAAUUAUCAUCACUCUGCAUAGAAAACUCAUGAAGCUAAAUAAUGUUUAAGACUUAAGAGUGGGAAAAGUUUUAGAAUCAAGAAAGAUACUCUUGACGAAUUUUUUAAAGAAACCAAGAAAGGAAAGAUUCUUGAGGAAUCUGAUGUUACCAAAUCUGAUUGAUUUUGGAUACCAGCAGCAGCAAGAUCAGCAACAACAGUUUUGGAUCCUUCAGAAGCCGCUUUUCUUCGGUAAUACUUAACGA
rnacentral:lncRNA from 1 species